rnacentral:rRNA from 1 species
UGGGGAAUAUUGGACAAUGGGCGAAAGCCUGAUCCAGCAAUGCCGCGUGCGUGACGAAGGCCUGCGGGUUGUAAAGCGCUUUAGAUGAAGAGGAAGUUACUAAUAGAAGUAUUAGUAAUUGACGUGAAUUAUAGAAUAAGCACCGGCUAACUCUGUGCCAGCAGCCGCGGUAAUACAGAGGGUGCGAGCGUUAAUCGGAAUGACUGGGCAUAAAGGGUGCGUAGGUGGAUAUUUAAGUUGGGUUUUAAAGAUCUGGGCUUAACCUGGAGAAGGGGCACAAUACUGGAUAUCUAGAGGACAGUAGAGGAUAGUGGAAUUUCCGGAGUAGCGGUGAAAUGCGUAGAUAUCGGAAGGAACACCAGUGGCGAAGGCGACUAUCUGGACUGAUACUGACACUGAGGCACGAAAGCGUGGGGAGCAAACA